rnacentral:rRNA from 1 species
GAUGAACGCUGGCGGCGUGCCUAAUACAUGCAAGUCGAGCGAACAGACGAGGAGCUUGCUCCUCUGACGUUAGCGGCGGACGGGUGAGUAACACGUGGAUAACCUACCUAUAAGACUGGGAUAACUUCGGGAAACCGGAGCUAAUACCGGAUAAUAUAUUGAACCGCAUGGUUCAAUAGUGAAAGACGGUUUUGCUGUCACUUAUAGAUGGAUCCGCGCCGCAUUAGCUAGUUGGUAAGGUAACAGCUUACCAAGGCAACGAUACGUAGCCGACCUGAGAGGGUGAUCGGCCACACUGGAACUGAGACACGGUCCAGACUCCUACGGGAGGCAGCAGUAGGGAAUCUUCCGCAAUGGGCGAAAGCCUGACGGAGCAACGCCGCGUGAGUGAUGAAGGUCUUCGGAUCGUAAAACUCUGUUAUUAGGGAAGAACAAAUGUGUAAGUAACUAUGCACGUCUUGACGGUACCUAAUCAGAAAGCCACGGCUAACUACGUG